UACGAGGGGGGCAAGCGUUGUUCGGAAUUAUUGGGCGUAAAGGGCGCGUAGGCGGUUUGACAAGUCUGAUGUGAAAUCUCUGGGCUCAACCCAGAGUCUGCAUUAGAAACUGUCGGGCUUGAGUAUGGGAGAGGUGAGUGGAAUUUCCGGUGUAGCGGUGAAAUGCGUAGAUAUAGGAAGGAACACCAGUGGCGAAGGCGACCACCUGGACUGAUACUGACACUGAGGUGCGAAAGCGUGGGGAGCAAACAGG
rnacentral:rRNA from 1 species